UACGAAGGUGGCAAGCGUUGUUCGGAUUUACUGGGCGUAAAGGGAGCGUAGGUGGUGCGGUAAGCCCUCCGGGAAAGCUUCAGGCUUAACCUGAAAAGGUCGGGGGGGACUGCCACGCUAGAGGACGGGAGAGGAGCGCGGAAUUCCCGGUGUAGUGGUGAAAUGCGUAGAUAUCUGGAAGAACACCAAAGGCGAAGGCAGUGUCCUGGGUGGUCGCUGACGCUGAGAGGCGAAAGCCAGGGGAGCGAACGGG
rnacentral:rRNA from 1 species